AGUACAUCCUUUUUGCAUCUCUGUCAACAAUAUUAUAACAAUCUGAUCUGAAAAGCGAGAAGUAACGCAACAACUUUGAGUCAGAACGGUGAGGCCAAUAGUAUUGUUUUAUGCAUCGUGUCAUCCCCUCCAGAGCCAAUAAUUGACUUGUAUAUAUGCUGUGGAAAUAGUUGUGGCCAUAUGCUGUUAACUUGUUGGGCAUCAUCACAUUUGUUUGCUUUAGUGGGAGACUGUUGCUGUCACAAGUGCACCGGAAGAGGUCCGCCUGUACUUUUUAGGUAGUCUUUUGUGUGGGGAUGGAAGCUGAGUUCUUGCCAUCUUGCUGCUUUCCCUGUGUUUGCGCAAGUGUGGUUGUGGUGGUGAUGAUGUUAGCAUUGGGAUGCUUUUCAUUGGGAUGGAAUGGAUAGAGCUUACAUUUGAUACUGGGUCAACUUGAUGAGGAUAGAAAAGGAGAGGCACCUAGGCUCCCUUCCACAUAGUUAACCAUAUCUGCAGGGGGCAGUACCAACAUGCGUCGCCCUCGCCCAGAUAUGCAGAUCUAUGUGCAUUUUCAAAGCGCAAUUUAUCAGGGACCCGUUUGGUAUCUUGUUCCUUUGUUGUUUGUCCACUCUUCUCCUGUGUUCUAUUUGGUCAUCACUACCAGGGGUGGUUCCUGAUCACUGCUUUUUCUCUGGCCUCAACAGGGAACACAUCGCUUGUUCGCAGCUGUUGCAAGUGCUCUGCUGAUCUCAUUCCAGGGAAGGCUGCCCAAGCACCCCAAACUGAUUAGACAUAGAUAUUGGAAACCAGCCCAUGCACACGCACAUGUGUUGAGAUGCAAGGCAACGAGGCCAAAAACAUCAAGAUGUAAAUUUAACACCUACGACUGAGUCAAUCUUCUUCCACAUCAACGCCUUCAAGAUAAGCCGGAGCCGUCCACUCGUAUCUCGUAGCGGCACCUAGGGGCUAGGGCAUCCUGAAUGAUACCUCAUACAGGUCUAGAAGGCAGGGGAAAGAAAGAAAGAAGGCGAGAAAAGGGCAACAUCAGGAUCAGGUGGCGACGUGCAAGUCUGGCGCUGCCAAAUACCCAAAGUACAGAGUGGUUGGCAUGAGUGCCAGAAACAAAAUGGAAUUUAUCAGGCCUGCCUCCACGACAAUGCUACGUUGAUGCUAACUCGAUCCCGCGUCCACAUUAGCCGGUAUCUCUCCGGCAUGGCCCGUAUCUUUAUGGCAUGACACUGACAACGUCCCUCGCAAUCGCAAGAUCUCUGAGGACUCUGGAGUUUCUGAUGGGGAUAAGCUGGUGGAUUGAUUGGGCAACUAAUCGCAAGGACGGGGACCGGUAGAGGAUACUUCAGACGUCAAAGAAAAAAGAAGAACACCGGUGGAGGGAGUGAAGUUGCGGAAGGGAGGAGAUCAUCAAGAAGCUGUUAGUGAUGAAAAAAGACGACAUAAAAUUGAUGCAUGAGAUAAGAGGAGUAUCAUCGAAGAACACCGGUGGAGUGAAGUUGCACAAGGGGGGAGGUCAUCAAGAAGCUGUUAGUAAUGAGAAAAGACGACCUAAAAUUGAUGCAUGAGAGGAGUAUCAUCGAAACCUGUCUUCAAGUCCAUCAAAUGGAAGCAGAGAGCAUACUCUUGACAAACUCCCGAGGCCGGCAGACAGCCGCCAAUGGCGUCGCCAUUGGCAUUGUCAGUCCACCACCUUCAGCCAUGUCGAUGGUAUCGCCUUCACCAACAUCCCACUCAAAGCACUGCAGGAGUGCUGCGAGUGUCAAGCUUACAACGCGC